GGAGUCAUCACAGACCGAGGAGGUGGAUCACAGCACUAUCCUGAGGAGCGACAUGUGGUUGAACGCCAUGGACGGGACACAAGCGGACCAAGGAAAGAGUGGCAUGGUCCACCCUCUCAAGGGCCUAGCUAUCAUGAUACGAGGCGAAUGGGUGACGGCCGGGCAGGAGCAGGCAUGAUAACCCAACAUUCAAGUAACGCAUCCCCAAUUAAUAGAAUUGUACAAAUCAGUGGCAAUUCCAUGCCAAGAGGAAGUGGCUCCGGAUUUAAGCCAUUUAAGGGUGGACCUCCGCGACGAUUCUGAAAAUGAGCUCUCUGCCAAGCACCGAGGCACAUUUGAAAAGAUGGAAUUGAAGUCGUUUUGUUUAACGCUGUGUGAAUAUAAAGAGUAGUUUGCAGCUGUGUGGUAGUGGUUUAAUUUGCAGCCUUAGCUCUGUGGUGUCUGGCUCUAGAGUUACUUCUUUUUACCAAGCAUUUUCAGCCUCCAUUUUGAAGGCUGUCUACACUUAAGAAGUCUUAGCUGUCUAAUUUUUAGAGAAUAAGAUUGUUCAUUGCAUUUCUGAGUAUUAUGUAACCUAUUUUUGCAGAAGGUACUGUUACAUUAAGUGCAUCUGUGUAUCCUGGUUUAAAAAAAUGUAAUCUUUUUUGAAAUAAACCUUCAUAUUCUGUAUAGUU
rnacentral:lncRNA from 1 species